rnacentral:rRNA from 1 species
AGUAAUAGUUAUGAUCUUGAAACUCAAAAAAUUUGGCGGUAUUUUAGACUAUUCAGAGGAACCUGUAGUGUAAUUGAUAAUCCACGAUGGACCUUGCUUAAAAUUGUAUUUCAGUUUGUAUACCGCCGUUAUUUGAAAAUUUUUUAAGAAAAAUAAUUUUCAAGAAUUUAGAUUAAAAAGUAAAUCAGGUCAAGGUGCAGCUUAUAUUUAAGUAUUUUAUGGGUUACAAUAAAUUUAUUUAAACGGAUUAACAUAUGAAAUAAAUGUUGUGAAGGUGGAUUUGAAAGUAAAUUUUUAUAGAUUAAAGAAUUGAUUUUAGCUCUAAAAUAUGCACACAUCGCCCGUCACUCUUGUUAAUAAUAUAAGAUAAGUCGUAACAUAGUAGAUGUACCGGAAGGUGCCUCUAGAAUGACAAUUUAAAGCUUAUAAAGUAAAGUAUUUCAUUUACACUGAAAAGAUUAUUGUGCAAAUCAAUAUAAAUUGAUAAUAUAUAAUUAUUAAUUUUUUUU